rnacentral:rRNA from 1 species
UACGUAGGGUGCAAGCGUUAAUCGGAAUUACUGGGCGUAAAGCGUGCGCAGGCGGUUUGCUAAGACCGAUGUGAAAUCCCCGGGCUUAACCUGGGAACUGCAUUGGUGACUGGCAAGCUAGAGUGUGGCAGAGGGGGGUAGAAUUCCACGUGUAGCAGUGAAAUGCGUAGAGAUGUGGAGGAAUACCGAUGGCGAAGGCAAUCCCCUGGGCCUGCACUGACGCUCAUGCACGAAAGCGUGGGGAGCAAACAGG